CAGCAGGUGGGACUGAGUCUAUCUGGCUCUGAAAUAAUGGCCACACUGUUCCUUGAUGCUCUUUCCAUGGAGAGAUGGGAUCUGUGUUCCCUCUUGAACGGUAAGGCAGAAGUGUUGCCAUGGCAUUUCCAAGGUUACGUCACAGAAAGCUAUGCUCCUUCCACACUGCCACCUGAACUUGAUCACCCCAGAGUCUCUGUGCUGUGAGGAUGCCCAAACCAUGUGCCAAGGGAGGCCCUUGAAUCCACAACCUUAGCUUGUAGGGCACCCCUCGCCCAGGUGUCAGGCACAUAUGUGAAUAAUCUUCCAUGUGAUUUCAAUCUCCACCUCCAAGUUGCCAUUUUUAGCUCAAAGUCUAGACACUGUGGAGCAGAGGAGCACAGCUGGACCAUUUCAGCACAGAACCCUGGAUUCACCCACGCACAGCUGAUUCCGGCUCAUUUCAGAAAUGGUUUUCUGAAAGAAGACGAACUCAUCACCCACUGGAUAAUCAGCUUAGAAAAGUAAGCCAGGUUAGAGGAAAUUUGUAGAACCUAUUGUUAAGCUCCUGAUUCUGAGCUAACACCAUGUGCAACAUACA